CACUCGCCGCCUCCUCCUCCGCGUAUCCUCCGCGCUGCCCCCGACCACCUCCUCCGCGUCGACAUGUCCUAGUUCCUCCUCCUCCGCAGCAGAUGGAUCUGGCGGAGACUACCUUCCCGUGUCCUCCACUGCGACCGUGGCCGCUCCGGCACCAGCAGGGCCGCACGGCGGCGGGAGGAAGUCCGUGCUCGACGAUUGAGAGAGAAAGAGGUGAGGAGGAAUAAGCAAGAGGACAGGAUGCAUGCAAAAGCAAGAGAACAACAAGAAGUUAGAGGUGGCUGUAAUAAGGAUGAAAGAGCUACAAGAUAGGAGAAACAAGUCAGCCAUAGAACUACAUGAUAAGAGAAAGUUGGACGUUGUUUAUCAUGUUUGGCAAUGUUCUGUCUUUGAGCAAAUAAAGAGUUCACGAAACAGUUGUUUUUGCCUCAAUUCGUCUAAGGCCUGUAUUUUAUCUGUUAAAUAUAUUGUUUCAGUGGGACAAUUCAUGAUCUUGCUGCGGUAUUGUAUCUGUUGAAUAUAUUGUUUCGGCCGGACGAUCCA